AUUGAACGCUGGCGGCAGGCCUAACACAUGCAAGUCGAGCGGAUGAAGGGAGUAUGCGCAUGGAUUCAGCGGCGGACGGGUGAGUAAUGCCUAGGAAUCUGCCUGGUAGUGGGGGAUAACGUCCGGAAACGGGCGCUAAUACCGCAUACGUCCUGAGGGAGAAAGUGGGGGAUCUUCGGACCUCACGCUAUCAGAUGAGCCUAGGUCGGAUUAGCUAGUUGGUGGGGUAAAGGCCUACCAAGGCGACGAUCCGUAACUGGUCUGAGAGGAUGAUCAGUCACACUGGAACUGAGACACGGUCCAGACUCCUACGGGAGGCAGCAGUGGGGAAUAUUGGACAAUGGGCGAAAGCCUGAUCCAGCCAUGCCGCGUGUGUGAAGAAGGUCUUCGGAUUGUAAAGCACUUUAAGUUGGGAGGAAGGGCAGUAAGUUAAUACCUUGCUGUUUUGACGUUACCAACAGAAUAAGCACCGGCUAACUUCGUG
rnacentral:rRNA from 1 species